AUUGAACGCUAGCGGGAUGCCUUACACAUGCAAGUCGAACGGAGUGGCGAACGGGUGAGUAAUGUAUCGGAACGUGCCCAGUAGCGGGGGAUAACUACGCGAAAGCGUAGCUAAUACCGCAUACUAUUGGAGCGGCCGAUAUCGGAGUAGCUAGUGGGUGGGGUAACGGCUCACCAAGGCGGCGAUCCGUAGCCGGUUUGAGAGGACGACCAGCCACACUGGAACUGAAACAUGGCCCAGACUCCUACGGGGGGCAGCAGAGGGGAAUUGUGGACAAUGGGGGAAACCCUGAUCAAGCCAUGCCGCGUGGAUGAAGAAGGCCUUAGGGUUGUAAAGUACUUUCAGCGGGGAGGCGUUACCCGCAGAAGAAGCACCGGCUAACUCCGUGCCAGCAGCCGCGGUAAUUC
rnacentral:rRNA from 1 species